rnacentral:rRNA from 1 species
CCUACGGGGGACAGCAGUGAGGCAUAUUGGUCAAUGGGCGCGAGCCUGAACCAGCCAAGUAGCGUGAAGGAUGACUGCCCUACGGGUUGUAAACUUCUUUUAUAAAGGAAUAAAGUUAUGCACGUGUGCCUUUUUGUAUGUACUUUAUGAAUAAGGAUCGGCUAACUCCGUGCCCGCAGCCGCGGUAAUACGGAGGGUCCGAGCGUUAUCCGGAGUUAUUGGGUUUAAAGGGAGCGUAGAUGGGUUGUUAAGUGGGUUGUGAAAGUUUGCGGCUCAACCGUAAAAUUGCAAUUGAAACUGGAGGUCUUGAGUACAGUGGAGGUAGGCGGAAUUCGUGGUGUAGCGGUGAAAUGCUUAGAUAUCACGAAGAACUCCGAUUGCGAAGGCAGCUUACUAAACUGCCACUGACAUUGAUGCUCGAAAGUGUGGGUAUCGAACAGGAUUAGAUACCCGAGUAGUC